rnacentral:lncRNA from 1 species
AAAUCAACUAAGAGCUCAAAGAAGAUCCAGCUAUAGCAGCCACAAUUAUUCUUUCAUGUAAUAAAUAUCCAUUUACCAUCCUGGAAUGCACCGUGGAAGCUUAUUUCAUUCCUCAAAACUUUCAAAGCUGUUGAUGCCCAGCUGAUAUUUACAGUGGUUGCAUGGUCUGGUGAUUACAAAGAAACAGAGGAAAUGAUGGCUUUAAUAACCUGUGCAUGACAUGAUUGCUCUAAAAGGACAUAAUUUUUGGAGUUGAUUUAUAAAUUGGUAUUCUACAAACACUACUGAAAGAAUCAAAAGAGUGAAGACCAUCUGUAGUCAUAUGGCAGUUCCUUUCUCAGUACCUAAGAAUAGAAUAGGGCACUUCAAUUUGUUGAACAGAAUCAAAUACUUGUUUUAAAAUGUAAUCAAUAUGGGAGAAUCCUUCCUCCUUGGUUGAUGUUGUAUUUACUGGUGAAUCUUUAUAAGCUCAUACACAGGCCACUUUGAUAAUAGUUAAGAAUUCAGCCUUAAGCACUAAAUAAAAAAAAAAAAUUGAAUCUCAACUCUAUCACUUAUUUACUACGUGAAUUUGGGCAGGUUAUUCUGGUAGCCUCUGUUUCUUCAUCUGACCUUUGGGAUUAUAAAAAUCCAUAUAUCCCUAUAUAAAAUUCUAAAAUAUAAUAAAAGAGACAAUAUCAUGAAGUGUAUAGCACAG